CCUACGGGAGGCAGCAGUGGGGAAUAUUGCGCAAUGGGCGAAAGCCUGACGCAGCGCCGCCGCGUGAGGGAUGAAGGUCUUCGGAUCGUAAACCUCUGUCAGCAGGGAAGAACGGUCACUGUGUUAAUCAGCAGUGAAUUGACGGUACCUGCAAAGGAAGCACCGGCUAACUCCGUGCCAGGAGCCGCGGUAAUACGGAGGGUGCGUGCGUUAAUCGGAAUUACUGGGCGUAAAGCGCUCGUAGGCGGGAUGUCAAGUCAAGGGUGAAACCCCCGCGCUCAACGUGGGAACUGCCUGUGAAACUGGCAAACUGGAGUGUGUGAGAGGAUAGUGGAAUUCCAGGUGUAGGAGUGAAAUCCGUAGAUAUCUGGAGGAACAUCAGUGGCGAAGGCGACUAUCUGGCACAUAACUGACGCUGAGGAGCGAAAGCGUGGGUAGCAAACAGGAUUAGAUACCCCUGUAGUC
rnacentral:rRNA from 1 species